CAUGUUGAAACAUCAGUUCACAUACAAUCACCAUAGUUAAGCAACAUCGAGCCUGGUCAGUACCUAAAUGGGUGACCUCUUGGGAAUACCAGGUGCU
rnacentral:rRNA from 1 species